UGUAUCUGAAGCCUGACGAGGAUGAGAACCUCCGGAGGGCAAGAGGUUCGACCCGAGCGAAGCGAGAGAACGUUGCGUCAGCAACGGCCCGCAGGGCGAGCCAUCCUCUAUCACCGGCAG
rnacentral:sRNA from 2 species